UACGAAGGGUGCAAGCGUUGUUCGGAAUCAUUGGGCGUAAAGCGCGCGCAGGCGGAUUAAUAAGUCAGGUGUGAAAUCUCGGGGCUCAACCUCGAAACUGCGCCUGAAACUAUUAGUCUAGAAUGUCGGAGGGGGCAGGGGAAUUUCACGUGUAGGGGUAAAAUCCGUAGAGAUGUGAAGGAACACCGGAGGCGAAGGCGCCUGCCUGGACGACUAUUGACGCUGAGGCGCGAAAGCGUGGGGAGCAAACAGG
rnacentral:rRNA from 1 species